ensembl:lncRNA
CAUGUGGUUCAGCGCAAAGUAGAGCAGAGAAAUGAAGCCAUGGCUAGAAGCAGGUACAUGGUCAAAAACAUGCUUCUGAGAUGAGAUGCACUAGAGCUGGGGAUAUGGCUCAGUUGGCAGAGUGCCUGCCUGGCAUGCACAGAGUAUCGGGUUCAAUCCCCAGCACCACAUAAAUCAGGAAUGGUGGUGCAUGCACAGUUACAAUCUCAGCAUUUGUAAGGUGAAAGCCAACGGAUCAGCAGCUCAAGGUCAUUGUCACCUACAUAGCAAGUUCCAGGCCAAACCAAUCUACAUGAGAUGAGACACACAGACAGACUGGGGGCAGGAACAGAGGGACAGCAAGAGAAUACUCUAGAGCAUGCUGGUAAGCUGCUCAGAAUAACAGAUCAGAAGGGAUCAUCAGCCAGGUGUCAUGGUGCAUGCUUUUAAUCCCACCACUCAGGAGGAAAGGCAGAUGGAUCUCUGUUAGUUUGAGGCCAGCCUGGUUUACAAAAUGAGUUCUAGGACAGCCAGAGCUACAUAUGCAGAGAGACUCUGUCUCAAAAACAAAACAAAAAACAAAAAGGGAUCAUUAAGGAUAUCAAGUCCCCUGUUUCCAUAGUGGGUUAUGAAAUCAUGCUAUAGUAUUGGAAUGGAAGGAAAGGACAUGGCUGACCGGUCUACAGCUUUGUGGUACAAAGAUGAAAGUGUCCUGAAUAAUCCUACAGUUCCUUAGUGAAGAGACAGCUGGAUCUACUCAUGCAGUGCCAGCCUCACCCCUGAGACAUGAUAGUGAAGGUUAAAGUGAACAGAUUUGGCCAUAUUAUGUGCCUGGUUACCAGGACUGCUUUCAACUCUGGCAAGGUGGAUGUUGUUGUCAUCAAUAUCCCCUCCACUGACCUCAUCUAUGUGGUCUGCAUGUUCCAGGAAGACCCACAACACAGUCAUGACUGAGAGUGGGAAACCUGUCAUCAACAAGAAAGCCAUCUCCGUCUUCCAGGAGUGAGAUCCCACCAGCAUAAAAUGGGGUGAUGCUGGUGCCAAGAACGUUACUGGUAUGAUGCUGGUGUCUUCACUACCAUAAAGAAUGUCAAGGCCCUCUUGGAAGGGUAGAACCAACAGAGUCUUCAGUCUUCAUCUCCUCCACUUCUAUUCAUGUUUUUCAUGGCUGUCAUUCAAGACUGUCAGCAAUGCCUUCUGUACUACCAACUGCUUAGCCCCUCUGCCAAGGUCAUCCAUGACAGCUUCAUCAUCAUCAAGGGACUUAUGUCCACAGCCCAUGCUAUCACUGAUACCCAGUAGGCUAUAGACAACCUCUCUGGACAACAGUGGUGUGAUGGUCACAAGGCUGCCUAUAACAUCAUCUCUGUGUCUACCUACCAGUGCUACCAAGACUGUGGGCAAGAGCACAACAGAGCUGAACAAGAAGCUCAUUGUCAUGGCCUUCUAUGUUCCCAUCCCUAAUGUGUCUAUCAUGGAUAUGGCAUGCCUCCUGGAGAAAGCUGCCAAGAACAGUGAUAUGAAGACAGUGGUGAAACAGGCACUGGGAGUAGAUUCUAAAGGGCACCGAGGACCAGGCUGUUUUCUGUGACUUUAAACAGUGACACCCACUCUGCUAUCUUUGAUUCCAGGACUGGCAUUGUUCUCAAUGACCACUUUGCCAUGCUCAUUUCCUGGUAUGACAACAAAUUUAUCUACCACAGAAUGGUGUGUCUCCUGGACCACAUGUCUUCUAAGGAGUGAAAUUCUCUGGACCACUGUGACCACACUCUCCAGCAAGAACAUCAGGAAGAGAGAGGCCUUUAGCUGCUGAGGAGUCCCCAUUCCAAAUCAGUCCCUAACACUGAGCACAUUCCCUCACAGUUUCUGUAGCACGAAUAAUAAAAACCCAGAGACAGAUUCUCGGGGUUCAAGCUGAAGAGCAGAAAGGCAAAGCAGCCAGCCAGUAGUUCUUACCUCUACCAGUGCUCAAUGUAGAGUGAUCCAUUGAAGCUCAGAUUGCGUCUCCAGACUGCACUGUUGCUCACCAAAUCCCAGACUUCUGCCUGAGACUGAGCUCCUUAUAUUCUC